rnacentral:rRNA from 1 species
GACGAACGCUGGCGGCGUGCUUAACACAUGCAAGUCGAACGGAAAGGCCCUGCUUUUGUGGGGUGCUCGAGUGGCGAACGGGUGAGUAACACGUGAGUAACCUGCCCUUGACUUUGGGAUAACUUCAGGAAACUGGGGCUAAUACCGGAUAGGAGCUCCUGCUGCAUGGUGGGGGUUGGAAAGUUUCGGCGGUUGGGGAUGGACUCGCGGCUUAUCAGCUUGUUGGUGGGGUAGUGGCUUACCAAGGCUUUGACGGGUAGCCGGCCUGAGAGGGUGACCGGCCACAUUGGGACUGAGAUACGGCCCAGACUCCUACGGGAGGCAGCAGUGGGGAAUAUUGCACAAUGGGGGGAAGCCUGAUGCAGCAACGCCGCGUGCGGGAUGACGGCCUUCGGGUUGUAAACCGCUUUCGCCUGUGACGAAGCAUGAGUGACGGUAAUGGGUAAAGAAGCACCGGCUAACUACGUG